UGAGCAAUCUGCCCUUCUCUUUGGAAUAAGCGUUGGAAACGACGUCUAAUGCCGAAUACGACCUCCUUUCGCAUGAUCGGAGGUGGAAAGCUCCGGCGGAGAAGGAUGAGCUCGCGGCCUAUCAGCUAGUUGGUGUGGGUAAUGGCCCACCAAGGCGACGACGGGUAGCCGGCCUGGAGAGGGUGACCGGCCACACGUGGGACUGAGACACGGCCCAGACCUCCGUACGGGAGNAGCG
rnacentral:rRNA from 1 species